UACGUAGGGGGCAAGCGUUAUCCGGAUUCACUGGGUGUAAAGGGAGCGCAGGCGGCGCGUUAAGCCUGGUGUGAAAGCCCGCGGCCCAACCGCGGGACUGCAUUGGGAACUGGCGCGCUGGAGUGCCGGAGGGGUAGGCGGAAUUCCUAGUGUAGCGGUGAAAUGCGUAGAUAAUAGGAGGAACACCAGUGGCGAAGGCGGCCUACUGGACGGUGACUGACGCUGAGGCUCGAAAGCGUGGGGAGCAAACAGG
rnacentral:rRNA from 1 species